rnacentral:misc_RNA from 1 species
AAAAAAAUAUAUUCAGGGGAAUGCAAGCAGCGGCGAUGGCGGCUCAACCAGUAAUCAAGGUAGCUGGGCUUUGCGGUUCCCUCCGUAAAGGUUCCUACAAUCGUGGUCUCCUCAAUGCCGCGAUGGAGAUAUGCAAGGAUUCUAUAACGGGAAUGGAGAUCGAGUACGUCGAUAUAUCGCCGUUGCCGUUUCUGAACACGGAUCUUGAGGUGGACGGGACUUAUCCCCCGGUUGUCGAGGCUUUUCGUAAGAAAAUUGAAGAAGCUGAUUGUUUCCUUUUUGCUUCUCCAGAGUACAAUUACUCCAUCACAGGACCGUUGAAGAAUGCAAUUGAUUGGGCCUCUCGACCUCCAAAUGUUUGGGCUGAUAAAGCAGCAGCAAUGGUGAGUGCUGGAGGUGGCUUUGGUGGAGGACGAUCACAAUAUCACCUCCGACAGAUAGGAGUCUUCCUUGAUCUUCAUUUCAUUAACAAACCUGAAUUUUUCCUGAACGCGUUCCAGCAACCACCAAAGUUUGACAGUGAUGGUGUGCUGACAGAUGAAGAAACCAAGCAGAGACUCAGAGCAGUUCUUUUGGCUUUACAAGCACUUUCCUUGAAACUCAAAGGCAAGUGUGAAUAGUUUCUACCAGUAAAUGUGGUCCAUUUCUUCCUCCAAUGUUGCGUGAAAAUGCUUGAGCGACCGUCGGGAAAGAUUUUUAGCGGGGUUGGUAAAGAAUUGACAUUUCCAGCUCACAUGGGAAUAAAUAUCUACUUAUCCAGUAUUGAAAAUUUCAUGGUAAUUGAUGUAAUGGCUCCUACAUUUUUUCUCUGUCUUUCGUUUUCUGUUCUAUCAGCAACACGUUUGUUUUACAAAAUAUCAUCAAUACAUUUACUUCGAAUAGACUAUUGUGGUCCGACAUGUGUUCAUACCAAAGUUUAGCUCACCGCUUGAAGAAAAAUCACCAAUGACCACUUUUACAACUACUGUUUUUUGGAAAGUAAGUCACAGUUUGUGCAUUUUUUUUUAAUGUUAAGGAUAUAGUUUGAAAUAAUUCUCAA